GAAAGACUGAAUCAAGCUAUUGGGACUGCGCAAAAUUCAAGUGACAAAGAUCCAAGGCCCGUGCAGGUUACAGUUGAAACCCUAGAAAAGGGUUAUCUGAUUAAUGUAAUUUCAGAAAAGAAUUGCCCAGGUCUACUUGUCUCAAUACUUGAAACUUUUGAUGAGCUGGGUCUUAAUGUGCAAGAAGCUAGUGCCUCCUGUGAAGAAAGCUUUCGAUUAGAGGCAGUUGGACAAAAUGAAGAAAGUACGGAAAGCGUUGAUGCCCAAGUGGUAAAACAAGCUGUGUGUCAGGCUAUCAAGAACUGGAGCGAAAGCAAUGAGCAAGAUUAGCCACCAAA